AUGAAGCAACACAUUUUAUUCUUUAGGGGACACUCUGGAGGUUCAGUCCAGGACUCUCCUUCCUCUACUCUUGCACAUUAGCCAAGUUUCAAAUGAGUUCUCCGUUAGCUGCAGGCUAAACAGUGCGACUUCCGGUCUCCACACUCUGCUGUCUGUAAAAGGUUCCUGUGUCAUGAUGUGAAUAGAACAGAAGUUCUAGCUGAGACAAAAAUCCACAGAACCACAGAAAGAGGAGGAUGAGGCUGUGGUUCUGUCGGAAGAGAGAAACUGGUAUCCAGCAGGUUGCCAUAGGAGGCUGUUGCCAUGGUGAUGCAUCCAGUACUCUUGACAAUUCCCGCCUGCAGAAACACAAUCAAAAAAAUAAAAAAAGUUAAUUAAACAGGUAAGACCAAAGUUAUUUCUACAUGUUGCUAUAAAACAAGAUGAAAUAUUUAUCAUGUAAAUAAUUUUUUGUUUCUUUAGUCUUAUUCUUGGUGGUUUAUUUUGAAAUCAACUAUCUUAACCGGAUGUUGUCACUGACGUCACAUAUUUUGAAAUCAGCUGUUUGAUAUGAUGUGGGCGUUCAAGACAGGAAAACUUUCCCAAAGUGUUGAAAAAUAACUGAAGGCAACAAUCACAGAAAACAGAACAACCAGUUUUUCUGUUGGAAAUAAAUCCCACCAGUGUGAGGUUGUGUGAG